CAAAAGCACUACUAUUAAAGGUCCAAUGAUAACUGAUUACCAUUCGACCUAAGCAUUCAUAGCAGCUUUACAAAAAAAAAAAAAAAUUUUUUUUUUUUUUUUUUUUUAAACGCUGUAAAGCUCCCCUUCCCACAAGUAGGCACAGAGCGUAGAGUACCGGCUUCAAAAUAAUUUUUUUUCUUAGCUGAUUUUAACAAGUAUCUAUGUGCAAGUAUCUAUGUUCUAAGAAGAUGUCAGUCCAGAAAAUGGGGGUAUCGGUUUCCAUGUCAGCGGACAGCAAACCCACCCAAUUCAAGCGUCUAAACCCCAAUUGCUGGCCAACGCGUCGGAACCAAAGCGUUAGCGCUGGAAUUUCCGGGCGGAGGCGCAGUAUGUCGCAAUGGGUCGAUUGCUUUGGCCUGGCGGAAGUCUAUCAGGAGAGGACCGCGGCCGCGAGGACAGCGGGAAGGCGGGCAGCGUGUGAUGUCCUCGUCGCCCGAGAGCUUGAGCUGCUGGGUUUCGGGAGGCCACGCUGGCCCUGUUGGCACGACCAAGCAGGUCGGAGAGUUCAGUCGUGUUUGCACACGCGCUGGUCGAGUCCCGUUGUUGGCCAUGGAGAGCCUCCAUAAGCUGCCAGCCUGCUGGAGCAAUGAAAUGGCCUCCGAGAAACAUAGCUGAAGCAACACUUUGGAUGGACGUGAUACCCUACAAAGGUAUGCAGUCGGGAGGCAGCAUGUAGAUUAAAGCAGAGGUUGGCAAGCUGGUUCCAAGGCCAGAUCAGGCUUGCUGCUCUUUUACAAACAUGGUAUUAUUGGAACGCAACCACAUGCAUCAUCUGCAUAUUGUCUGUGGCUUCUGUUAUGCCAUAUCAGCAGAACUAAGUAGUCAUGUCAGAAACUCUGUGGUCCCCAAAGUCUAAAAUAGUUACUGUCUGGCACUUCACAGAGAAAAAGUUUGCCACUUUUUUCCUUAAACCACAGAGGAUUAUAUGGUUCUGUAUUACUGCUGAGAGCCAAGGAGUGGGAAGGAGGGCUUUGUUCCAGCAACCCACUUGGGAGACUUGCUUCCGGUUUCUGAAACUUCAGGCUCUUCUGUUGAAGAAGCAGAGGUCCUGGUUUCGAGAAAGGGGACACUCCACUAGGGGAAACAUUAAUAGUUCCAUUAAAGGCUGUGGCUGCCAUUCAUUAUUUUAUGCUCAUUGUGCCAGUAGAUCAGCAAGAGCAGAAAAGAGUUACUGUACUUGAAGGGGUAAUUGGGUUUGCUAACCAUGAGGCGGUGGGGUUGCGGCUAUGUAAUGGUAGCAGGGGGGAAUAUAUUUGGCACUCAUGUGAAUUACUGGAGUAUCCAUCUCUUCUUGGUAAUCGGAACCUCUGGUUUCACUGUCAGUUCGCAAGUAGAGCUCAACUGUGGCCAGGCAACAGCAUGGGAACAAAAUCUCAGACCCCUCGGGAGACAGUACCAUGCAAACCAUAUAGGCCAGCAGACAUGCUGGCACAGGUGAGGGGAGUAUGGACUGGGAGUAAAGAGAGGAAAUGAUCCGUAUCAGUUCUGACCUCAGAGCGGACUGCGGCUGUGGAGGCUGUAGUUUAUCCCAUGAACUUCUCCUUUAAGUUUUCAUAGAAACUGUGACCAGCCAGAAUCCUGAAGUCACAAAAGAAUGGGGUGAACCUAAUGUGUAAAGCAAAUGACCUGAGCUGUACAAGGGGUAGAGCACAGCAGUGUUGGUGCUCUGUCCAGAUUGACUUUUGUUGGCUUGGUGUACUCAUUCUUCUCCAGAUGCUGCAUGUGAUGCCACUAAUGCACUUGGACUUUUCAAGAGCCUUGCCUCUGGUACGUUGGAGUGCCAUCUCCAGUAGGUGGCUGGAAGUUAUGCACUACUUAUCCCUGUAAUGGCCUGUAAACAGUGGCUGCCGAGUGCAUGAUACGGAGUUGCAGAAAUCUCACUCCCCUGCUCUAGGGUGGCAAAGACUGUGGUGCAGUAUGUGCAUCAGAGCUCCUGGAGAUGUGGGCUGAGGCUAGACCACUGAAACCACAGUCUUGCUUUGCUCCUUCCAUUGGCCUCUUCUGUUGCCCCUCAUUCUGUUGCAGAUUUUUCUCCCUUUUUCUUACACAGUUUUGAGUUUGGACCUUAAAAGAGGCUGUUGAUAUGCGGAUUGGUCUAAAACAGGCAGCGUGGCAUUGUGUCUGGCCCAAGAUUUCUUGUAUAAUUAUGUAAUUUCUCUCUCAAUAAAAACCGGUUUUAUCUUUUGCCCUUUGUAAAGCUUGUUCUGUAUUUUUCCCCUAAUGUCUAAGGUUGGAAUGCUUCUAGCUCAUUAAUUUUGACCCUUUUGUGUUUACUUAGGAAUAUACAAUUACCCAUUUUCUUCAGAGUAAGACUUUAGGAGCAUCUCAUAAGUAUUGAAAAAGACAUUAUUUAUCAUUUAGUUCUGAGAAUUUUCUGAUUUCCAUUAUGACUUUUUUUGAGCCACAAAUAAAUUUUAAAAUUUUCAAACACAUGGAAUCAUUUCUCUUUGUCUGUUUGUUACGGAUUUUAACUUAAUUUUAUGGUUGUCAAGUAAGUGUUCUGUAUGAUAUUGGAACACGUUUUUAAUGUGCUUUUAACAAUUUAAUUAACUUAAUUUAAGAAUUAAUUUAAUGUGAUUUUUAAGAAUUUACUAACUUCAGUUUUUUGUACCAUCAUAAAUAUUGUGUGCUUGGAGAGAAUGUAUAUUUGCAGCUGUUGAGCACAGUAUUCUCUCUAUAUAUGUGUGCUUUUCAUUAAAUUUGUAAAUUGUAUUGCUCAGAUUCUUUAUAUCCUUAUUUUUUAUCUAUUUAAUUUACAAUGAGAAAUUUAAAAUCUUCCUCUGUGAUAGUGGAAUUGUCUAUAUAUUUUGAGACUGCUAUUAAGUACAUAAAAUCUAGAAUUGUUAUAUUUUCUUGAUAAAUUAAAACUUUUAUCAUUAUAUAGUGAUCAUCUUUAUCUCUAGAGAUGCUUUUUGCUUUAAAGUCUAUUUUGGGGGUACCUGGGUGGCUCAGUCAUUAAGUAUCUGCCUUCGGCUCAGGUCAUGAUCCCAGGGUCCUGGGAUCAAACCCUGUAUGGGGCUACCUGCUUGGCGGGGAGCCUGUUUCCUCCCUCCCCCACUCCCCCUGCUCAUGUUCUUUCUCUCACUGUGCCUCUCUCUGUCAAAUAAAAUCUUUAAAAAAAAAAAAAGUCUACUUUGUAUGGUAUCAGUAUUGUUAUACCAGAUUUCCUUAAUAUUUUCCUGGUCUAUUUUUCCCAUCCUUUGACCUUAAUACCUUUUCUGUCCUUAUGUUGUCACUUACAAAGAGCAGAGAAUUUAAUUUUUUUUCCUUUUAAUUUUAAUUUUUUAUUUUUAUCUAAAUUCAGGUAAUUAACAUAUAAUGUAUUUUUAGCUUCAGAGGUGGAGAUCAGCGAUUCAUCAGUCUUGUAUAAUACCCAACACUCACUUUAUCACAUGUCCUCCUUAAUGUCCAUCACCCAGUUACCUCAUUCCCCCAGUUGCCUCCCCUCCAGCAACCCUGCUUUUUUCUCUUAUGGUUUGUCUCCCUCUGUGGUUUUAGAUUAUUUUUAAUCCAGUCUGACAGUCAUUGACUUCAAAUUGGAUAGUUUCGACAGUUUCCAUUAAUUUAGAUCAGUUUUAUAUUUGGUAUAGUAGAUAUCUUCAAAAUAGUCAGUGACCCUUCCUCAUAGCCCCUCCUUACAAGCCCUGUCUCUUCUAAGCCUAUUCUUGUUGAAGUAUUAUAACCUCAUUGAUCUCUAAGUCUAUUAAGAGACUUGGUCUUAAUGAUGAUGAUUUUUCUUUUAACCAUUUAAAAGCAAGUAGAAAUAAAUGUACUACUUCUGAGUAGAAGCUUGUAAAGUCACUAUGUUAUUCUGAGUUUUUCUGUGUCACCAUAGGUUUCAUACUGUAGAUAGGUUUCAGACUGAAGCCAUUCCUUCAGUCUGGGUUCCACACUGAAUAACGAAGGCUGGCCAGGGACUGGCAUGCAGUGUGAGAAACAGAUUUCGUAAGUUGCUGAGGUUUGGGGAUUACUUAUGAAUGCAGGAUAACCUUACAAGAUCUGAUGCUUGAACAAAAUGGGUUGGGGGCACUGACCCCCAAACAGUCAAAAAUCUGCUAUAACUUUGACUCCCCCCAAACUUAACUACUAAUAGCCUACUAUUGACCAGAACCCUUAUCAAUAACACAAAUAGGUAAUUAACACAUAUUUUUAUGUUAUAUGUAUUGUAUACUAUAUUCUUACAAUGAAGUAAGCUAGAGAAAAACUAUUAAAAAAAUCUUAAGGAAAAGAAUAUACAUUUACAGUACUGUACUGUAAGAAAUCUGUAUGUAAGUGGACCCAUGCCAUUCAGACCCAUGUUGUUUUAGGGUCAACUGGACACUUAAAUUUAUUUCUACCCUUUUAUUUGCUGUCCUCUAUUGCUCUUGUGUGUGCGCUCGCUCUCUCUCUCUCUCUCUCUCUCUGUCCCUUUUUGUCUUCUAUUGUACUUUCUUUUUUUUUUAACUUUUUAAAAAAGAUUUUAUUUGAGAGAGAGAGAGAGUGUGUGUGUGCACGAGGGGAGGAAGGAGCAGGUGGAGGGAGAAGCAGACUCC
ensembl:lincRNA